CAGUGCUUUUUCUGGCUAAAGUCAGGGGAAUUUUCACAGCCUCUUUCACAUAAUAACACUGUAAUAGUCCACAUCCGUCCUGAGCACUGUCACAAACGUGUCUUCAUUUUGAGC